rnacentral:rRNA from 1 species
GUUUGAUCCUGGCUCAGGAUGAACGCUAUCGGCAGGCCUAACACAUGCAAGUCGAGGGGCAGCACAAGAAGAGUUUACUCUUUUGGUGGCGACCGGCGCACGGGUGCGUAACGCGUAUGCAACCUACCCUGAACAGGGGGAUAACACUGGGAAACUGGUACUAAUACCCCAUAACAUUCGAGAAGGCAUCUUCUUGAGUUAAAAACUCCGGUGGUUCAGGAUGGGCAUGCGUUGUAUUAGGUAGUUGGUGGGGUAAUGGCUCACCAAGCCUACGAUACAUAGGGGGACUGAGAGGUUACCCCCCCACACUGGUACUGAGACACGGACCACACUCCUACGGGAGGCAGCAGUGAGGAAUAUUGGUCAAUGGACGCAAGUCUGAACCAGCCAUGCCGCGUGCAAGAAGACGGCUCUAUGAGUUGUAAACUGCUUUUAUAUAGGGAUAAAUUCGGGUACGUGUACUCGAUUGAAGGUACUAUAUGAAUAAGGACCGGCUAACUCCGUGCCAGCAGCCGCGGUAAUACGGAGGGUCCAAGCGUUAUCCGGAUUUAUUGGGUUUAAAGGGUGCGUAGGCGGCACAGUAAGUUAGCGGUGAAAUCUCGGGGCUCAACCCUGAAACUGCCGUUAAAACUGCUGAGCUAGAGAUUAGAUGCUGUGGGCGGAAUGUGUAGUGUAGCGGUGAAAUGCUUAGAGAUUACACAGAACACCGAUUGCGAAGGCAGCUCACAAAUCUACUUCUGACGUUGAGGCACGAAAGCGUGGGUAGCAAACAGGAUUAGAUACCCUGGUAGUCCACGCAGUAAACGAUGAUAGCUCGUUGUCGGCGAUACACAGUCGGUGACUUAGCGAAAGCGUUAAGCUAUCCACCUGGGGAGUACGUUCGCAAGAAUGAAACUCAAAGGAAUUGACGGGGGCCCGCACAAGCGGAGGAACAUGUGGUUUAAUUCGAUGAUACGCGAGGAACCUUACCCGGGCUCGAACGGUGCAUGAAUAUACGAGAGAUUGUAUAGUCCUUCGGGACAUGUAUCGAGGUGCUGCAUGGUUGUCGUCAGCUCGUGCCGUGAGGUGUCGGCUUAAGUGCCAUAACGAGCGCAACCCUUGUCAUUAGUUGCCAUCAGGUCAAGCUGGGGACUUUAAUGAGACUGCCACCGUAAGGUGUGAGGAAGGGGGGGAUGACGUCAAAUCAGCACGGCCCUUAUGUCCGGGGCGACACACGUGUUACAAUGGGAGGUACAGAGGGCAGCUAUCCGGUGACGGAAUGCUAAUCUCCAAAACCUUUCUCAGUUCGGAUUGGAGUCUGCAACUCGACUCCAUGAAGGUGGAUUCGCUAGUAAUCGCGCAUCAGCCAUGGCGCGGUGAAUACGUUCCCGGGCCUUGUACAAGCCGCCCGUCA